rnacentral:rRNA from 1 species
GACGAACGCUGGCGGCGUGCCUAAUACAUGCAAGUAGAACGCUGAAGCGAGGAGCUUGCUCUUCUUGGAUGAGUUGCGAACGGGUGAGUAACGCGUAGGUAACCUGCCUUGUAGCGGGGGAUAACUAUUGGAAACGAUAGCUAAUACCGCAUAACAAUGGAUGACACAUGUCAUUUAUUUGAAAGGGGCAAUUGCUCCACUACAAGAUGGACCUGCGUUGUAUUAGCUAGUAGGUGAGGUAAUGGCUCACCUAGGCGACGAUACAUAGCCGACCUGAGAGGGUGAUCGGCCACACUGGGACUGAGACACGGCCCAGACUCCUACGGGAGGCAGCAGUAGGGAAUCUUCGGCAAUGGGGGCAACCCUGACCGAGCAACGCCGCGUGAGUGAAGAAGGUUUUCGGAUCGUAAAGCUCUGUUGUAAGUCAAGAACGGGUGUGAGAGUGGAAAGUUCACACUGUGACGGUAGCUGACCAGAAAGGGACGGCUAACUACGUG